GCCUUCGGUGGCUCAGACGGAUAGAGCGUCUGCCAUGUAAGCAGGAGAUCCUGGGUUCGAGUCCCAGUCGGGGCA
rnacentral:tRNA from 1 species